GUGCAAAGGUAGCAUAAUCACUUGUUCCUUAAAUAGGGACUUGUAUGAAUGGCUUGACGAGGGUUUAACUGUCUCUUAUUCUCAAUCAGUGAAAUUGACCUUCCCGUGAAGAGGCGGGAAUAAACUAAUAAGACGAGAAGACCCUAUGGAGCUUAAAUUUUAUAGUCUAGCAUAAAAAUAAUUAUACCCAUGGGACUACAAACUUAUUGCCUACAGACUACAAAUUUUGGUUGGGGUGACCUCGGAGCACAAAACAACCUCCGAAUGAUUCUAAUCUAGACUACACCCGUCUAAAUUAAUAUUCAUAAAUUGACCCAAAAUCUUGAUCAACGGAACAAGUUACCCUAGGGAUAACAGCGCAAUCCUACUCAAGAGUUCAUAUCGACAGUUAGGGUUUACGACCUCGAUGUUGGAUCAGGACAUCCAAAUGGU
rnacentral:rRNA from 2 species